rnacentral:tRNA from 1 species
UUUUACAUAGUUUAAAAAUUAAAACAUUACAUUUUCACUGUAAAAACAGAACAUUUCUUGUAAUAC